AGAAUACAAAAUUAUCCAAUAUUUUCUUUCUUUUUAUUUUUGGUAUCUAUCUAUCUAUCUAUCUAUCUAUCUAUAUAUACAUAUAUAUAUAUAUUCCCUCAUCCCUUCAUCUUCAUUCCUUCUAUAUCCUUCUUCUUCAUCAACCAAAACAAAAUGCAAACUUUGGCUUUCCUUUUGCCCUAAUUCUUUUGUCGUGUGCUUAUAUCAGUUCAAGCUGCCAGCAUGAUCUAACCUUAACCUCUCCUAAUUUUUAAUUUUUAAUUUUGUAAAUAUUGAGGUUAAUGAUCAGAUCAUAUGGCAGUUUUACCUGUUAUUGGCUAUGCACGAACAAUUUAGCCCUAAUUUCAAAAUCCCAAUAAGAAAACACAAACCCUAAUUAGUUUCUUGAUUUCCAGACCCAAUCAGCCGUUUCGCAUCCACAAUCCUUAAUAAAAGGUUGCAAAUAGAUAGGUGCAAUCGAGGAUGAACCGGGAGAGAGAGAAUAGAUGGACAUAUUGUAAGAGAUGUGAUGUGUGUUUCUUCGUACUUGUUGACUGUUUGGUGUUAUUGCGGAUUAGCAGUGUGUCUUAUCUAAGGGGAAAUGAUUCAGAGAAGUGAAUAUGAUAACGAUUUUUCACAACAA